rnacentral:tRNA from 1 species
AGCGGAGUAGAGCAGUUGGCUAGCUCGCAAGGUUCAUGUCCUUGAAGUCGGAGGUUCGAAUCCUCUCUCCGCUU